rnacentral:rRNA from 1 species
AUUGAACGCUGGCGGCAUGCUUUACACAUGCAAGUCGAACGGUAACAGGCCGCAAGGUGCUGACGAGUGGCGCACGGGUGAGUAAUGCAUCGGAACGUGCCCAGUCGUGGGGGAUAACUACUCGAAAGAGUAGCUAAUACCGCAUACGAUCUAUGGAUGAAAGCGGGGGACCGUAAGGCCCCGCGCGAUUGGAGCGGCCGAUGUCAGAUUAGGUAGUUGGUGGGGUAAAGGCUCACCAAGCCAACGAUCUGUAGCUGGUCUGAGAGGACGACCAGCCACACUGGGACUGAGACACGGCCCAGACUCCUACGGGAGGCAGCAGUGGGGAAUUUUGGACAAUGGGCGCAAGCCUGAUCCAGCAAUGCCGCGUGCAGGAAGAAGGCCUUCGGGUUGUAAACUGCUUUUGUACGGAACGAAACGGCUCUGGUUAAUACCCGGGGCUAAUGACGGUACCGUAAGAAUAAGCACCGGCUAACUACGUG